UACGUAGGGGGCGAGCGUUGUCCGGAUUCAUUGGGCGUAAAGAACUCGUAGGCGGUUCGCUAAGUCAGGUGUGAAAUCUCCACGCUCAACGUGGAGGGGCCACCUGAUACUGGCGUGACUCGAGUCCGGUAGGGGAGUGUGGAAUUCCCGGUGUAGCGGUGAAAUGCGCAGAUAUCGGGAGGAACACCAGUGGCGAAGGCGGCACUCUGGGCCGGAACUGACGCUGAGGAGCGAAAGCGUGGGUAGCAAACAGG
rnacentral:rRNA from 1 species